rnacentral:rRNA from 1 species
UACGGGGGGUGCGAGCGUUGUCCGGAAUCACUGGGCGUAAAGGGCGCGUAGGUGGUUUGAUAAGGGUGUGGUGAAAGUCCGGGGCUCAACCCCGGAUCUGCCGUGCCGACUGUCAAACUCGAGGGCUGUAGAGGCAGACGGAAUUCCGGGUGUAGCGGUGAAAUUCGUAGAUAUUGGGAAGAACACCGGUGGCGAAGGCGGCGACCUGGUCCGAUACUGACGCUGAGGCGCGAAAGCGUAGGGAGCAAACAGG